AUAUCGGCUUUUAUUGACUGGAAGAAGGAACAAGCAGUGGUUGACCACCAUACUACAUCCUGGAGACAGAGAGGCCGGGCUCAGGCCUUGAUCGCCUUUAUACCUCGGUCCGUGGGAGGAGCCAUAGGAGCAGUCAGCAGGGGGCGUGUCCAGACAGGUAUACGUAGUUCACCACAGGACGACAGGAGUACAGCAGAAAAAAAAUUGUGAGCAUUAGAAUUUUAUCUCAGACCUGGGAGAGGGUUGCUACUGGUCCCUUCGAGACCCGUGCCUGUCACGUGACAACACUGCCCUCACCUGGUCGGAGGUCACACCACCUGCAAGUCAACAUUUCGCCCCUCCCAACUAAUCAAUGCACACUUAACCAUUGGCCAUCUUAAUAGGAUUAACCUGUCUAGCACCAAGCCGUUGGCCCCCUGACCUAUAAAAGGAGCUACAUAUGCUUGGCUUGCUCUCUUUUGCCAUCCUCGAGGGACCACCCUGCUUCACUCCAGGUUGAGUACCCCAUAUUCUAAAUGCUUAGGGCUGGAUUGUUUCCGAUUUUGGAAUAUAUAAUGAGAUAGGGUUAAUCGGGCAUGUCGAAGGUCGCUGGGACAGCACGGCAUGAAGGACAAAGGGUCUAUUCCAUGUUCUAUCAUUAAAAUAUAAAACAAUUCUGACUCUGAAUUUAGGUGCUACAGGUUUUUGUCUCCACGGGGACUGUGCACUGAUACCACCAUGGGCAGAUGCCUUUGACAGAGGAAGAUUGAUGAGGACAAGGUCAGGUACUGGAACCACUGUGGAGAACCCCAAAACUAUUACUUCUCUUCUGUAUCUCUCCUUGUGGCAGGUCAGUCCUGCUAAUGGAACAGGAUAUACCUAGGGAUUGUGAUUGGGAAUGAAAGGGUUAACAUAUGAGAAGUGUUUGACUCAGGGCCUGUAUUUGUUAGAGUUUAGAACAGGUGGAAUCUCAUAAAAAUCUAUUGAAUAUUGAAAGGCAUAGAUAGAGUGGAUGUGGAGAGAAUGUUUACAAUAGUGAGAGAGUCUAGGACCAGAGGGCAUAGCCUUAGAAUAGAAGGACAUCCCUUUAGAAUGUCAAUGAGGAGGGACUUUAGCUGGAGGAUGGUUCAUCUGUGGGAUUCAAUGCCACAGAUGACUGAAGGACAAGUCAUUGGGUAUACUUAAGGUGGAGGUUGAUAGGUUCUUGAUUAGUAAGGGUGUCAAAGGUUACAAGGAGAAGGGAGGAGAAUGGGUUUCUGAGGAAAAAUAAACCAGCCAUCAUUGAAUUGUGGAGCAGACUCAAUGGCCGAAUUUCCUAAUUCUGCUCCUAUGCCUAAUGGUCUUACCUUUCCCAAUUCAGAUACGACUUUUUAGUUGUUUGUGAGAAGCUUUGUGAAGAGACUUGGUCAUGAACAGGUUCAAUGACACAUGGCCUGUCUGGUUUCAUUCUUUCUCUGUUUAAACAUAGCGAUUAAGAUGCAGGUGAGUGGUUUGCUGUGCUUGUUCAAAAGGGUACAUAAGCAUCAACCAGUGGGAUGGAUGAGGAGUCACAUCAAACUAGAUAAAGCAGGCUUCUAAGAGCAUCAGUGAGCUAAAUGGGCUUUUAUAGUCAUUGUGACUCCACAUUACAGUUUAUUAACUGAUUUUAAAUUCCACAGCUGUUCUGUUAAAAUUUGUGUUCAGGUUUCUGGAUUAUUGGACCAGAUUACUCUGGAUUACUUAUCCAAUAUCUGAACAACUGAAAUCAAAUGUGGUUCACUGAAAUUGAAUGGUAAAACAGAAUAUUUACAGAAAGGGCCAAAAUUACUCCCUCUGGCACAAAAGCAGGGGUUCCUGCAAAAUUCAUUAGCGCCUGUGAGUCACUUGUUUUUAAUGCCCUUGACUCUGUCAGGUAUGAAUCCAUAUUUUGUGAUAGUUUCAAGAAUUUCAUAAUGGCACAGUAAGAGAUAGUCAUUUGAAACUGAGCCAUACAUACUGUAUGAAUAUUUGUUCUGCAUCAAGAUAUUCUCCUGGCAAUACAAGUUCUUUUCAUGGUAACAUAAGUGGCCUGUGCUCUAUCCUACUCUGAACAGGCUUCACUUUGACUGUAUGAUUUAUAAUGUGUACAAGGACAAAUUGGACAGCAAAGCUCUGACAGGAUGAUGCUAUACAUUAUCUCUAGGAGCAGACGAACAAUGCUUAGCACUUCUUGUUUAGUCUUGUAUAUCUGGGGGAAGAAAUGAUUCUGUUUUGUGGCAGAUGGCAUGUCCCCAAGUUCAAUAGCUAAUAAUUUACAUGAAAACAAUCCGUAAAUUACCUGUUGUUGUGAAAUAAACUUGCCAUCAACAUUGUUAAAUUCAGCAUUGUACUCGUUCAAGGUUUUAGUGUUCAUGAGAGAAAAUUGGACUGUACUGUUUCCCUUUCAUCUUUGGACCUUCCCUGGAGAUGGCUAUGGAGAUGUCAUUCACUCUCAUAUGCAACUGAGGAAUUCUCUCACAACUGACUGUGGUAAUGCUGCUGAUGAAAUAAAAGCAAAUUAUAUGAAAGCGAGGAUCAGGAAAGUCUUUCGAACUUUUCCCAUGGAACUUUGGUACAAAUGGCCAUUUUGAUGCACUAAGAUGCCUUCUGUUGUGUAUUAAGUAAUAUUUGAGCAAUAUUGUAUGUAUAUUGUUGAAGUACUCUGCUUUUUUAAAAAUACAUGAAUGGCAUACAGGUACGUCAUAUCACCAGGUCAUAUGUGCGUGUCUGACUAAAAGUAAAACUAAGAACGUAUACAAGUCAUACCCAGCUCUCGCAUGUUUUUAUUUUGAUUAGAUUUUAUGUUUUGGAAUUACAAAUCAGAACACCUCUCACUCAACCAGCUACCAGCAAUUUUGUUAGCUUCUGCUUAGAUUGGAACCAUCCUCAGUGUGUUUGCCCAUCUGUGCCAUAUCUUCACAUUUCCUUGAAGAAGCUCCAUUGUUGUGCAGAGAAAUAGAUGCUGACACAAGCACCUGAGUCUGUGUGUUUUUACAGGGUGCUGCCUCUGAAAAUUAUUUGAAAACCACUCUCUAGCAAUUGUUUCUAACUUUGAACACAAAAGGCACUUCUCUUAAAAAAAUUAGUUCAGAUUAAAGCUCGUCAUCAAAAUCAGUUUGUUUAUUCAUUC